rnacentral:rRNA from 1 species
UACGUAGGGUGCAAGCGUUAAUCGGAAUUACUGGGCGUAAAGCGUGCGCAGGCGGUUUUGUAAGACAGUGGUGAAAUCCCCGGGCUCAACCUGGGAACUGCCAUUGUGACUGCAAGGCUGGAGUGGGGCAGAGGGGGAUGGAAUUCCGCGUGUAGCAGUGAAAUGCGUAGAUAUGCGGAGGAACACCGAUGGCGAAGGCAAUCCCCUGGGCCUGCACUGACGCUCAUGCACGAAAGCGUGGGGAGCAAACAGGAUUAGAUUCCCUGGUAGUCCACGCCCUAAACGAUGUCAACUGGUUGUUGGGGAUUUAUUUUCUCAGUAACGAAGCUAACGCGUGAAGUUGACCGCCUGGGGAGUACGGCCGCAAGGUUAAAACUCAAAUGAAUUGACGGGG